CCAAUGUGGAUACCCUCAGGUCACUCUCCCCGGAGCUCUGUUCAGGUGGCGCAGAGGACAGGCCUCUGCCCCGUGAUGUAUGCUCCCUUUCCACAAUGGUGGAGAGAAAGCCGGGCCUCCUACAGCUUCUCAGAGUCCUGUGGACAAUGACUGUGGAGACAAACCAUGCAGGAAACAUCU
rnacentral:snoRNA from 1 species